AGAGUUUGAUCCUGGCUCAGAACGUACGCUGGCGGCACGCCUAACACAUGCAAGUCGAACGAAGUAGCAAUACUUAGUGGCAGACGGGUGAGUAACAUGUAGGUAUCUGCCCUUUGGCCUGGAAUAACACGAGGAAACUUGUGCUAAUACCGGAUAAGUCUUUACGGAGAAAGCUUUAUGCACCAUUGGAUGAGCCUGCACUUGAUUAGUUUGUUGGUGGGGUAAUGGCCUACCAAGACUGUGAUCAAUAGCUGAUUUGAGAGGAUGAUCAGCCACAUUGGGACUGAGACACGGCCCAAACUCCUACGGGAGGCAGCAGUGGGGAAUCUUGCACAAUGGAGGAAACUCUGAUGCAGCGAUGCCGCGUGAGUGAAGAAGGCCUUUGGGUUGUAAAGCUCUUUCGUCGGGGAAGAAAAUGACUGUACCCGAAUAAGAAGGUCCGGCUAACUUCGUGCCAGCAGCCGCGGUAAUACGAAGGGACCUAGCGUAGUUCGGAAUUACUGGGCUUAAAGAGUUCGUAGGUGGUUGAAAAAGUUGGUGGUGAAAUCCCAGAGCUUAACUCUGGAACUGCCAUCAAAACUUUUCAGCUAGAGUAUGAUAGAGGAAAGCAGAAUUUCUAGUGUAGAGGUGAAAUUCGUAGAUAUUAGAAAGAAUACCAAUUGCGAAGGCAGCUUUCUGGAUCAUUACUGACACUGAGGAACGAAAGCAUGGGUAGCGAAGAGGAUUAGAUACCCUCGUAGUCCAUGCCGUAAACGAUGUGUGUUAGACGUUGGAAAUUUAUUUUCAGUGUCGCAGCGAAAGCGAUAAACACACCGCCUGGGGAGUACGACCGCAAGGUUAAAACUCAAAUGAAUUGACGGGGACCCGCACAAGUAGUGGAGCAUGUGGUUUAAUUCGAAGAUACGCGCAGAACCUUACCAACACUUGACAUGUUCGUCGCGACUCUAAGAGAUUAGAGUUUUCGGUUCGGCCGGACGAAACACAGGUGCUGCAUGGCUGUCGUCAGCUCGUGUCGUGAGAUGUUGGGUUAAGUCCCGCAACGAGCGCAACCCUCACUUUUAGUUGCCAUCAUUAAGUUGGGCACUCUGAAAGAACUGCCAGUGAUAAGCUGGAGGAAGGUGGGG
rnacentral:rRNA from 1 species